rnacentral:rRNA from 1 species
CUUUACUGUAACCUGGUAUUGGGUUCGGGCUUUGACUGCGCAGGAUAUGUGGGAGACUGAGAAGUGUGCCUUGUGGGGCACAUGGAGUCAACGGUGAGAUACCACUCUGUCAGAGCUAGAAUUCUAACCUUCACCCGUAAUCCGGGGAAGGAACCGUAUCAGGUGGGCAGUUUGACUGGGGCGGUCGCCUCCUAAAAGGUACGGAGGCGCGCAAAGGUGUUCUCAGGCUGGUUGGAAAUCAGCCGUAGAGUGUAAAGGCAGAAGAACGCUUGACUGUGAGAGUGACAACUCAAGCAGGGUGGAAACACGGCCUUAGUGAUCCGACGGUAUGCGCGUGGAAGUGCCGUCGCUCAACGGAUAAAAGUUA